AGAAAUUAAGAAUUGUUUCUUAACUUUUAACUAAAAAAGCUAAAAACUGGUUCUUAAAUAAGAAUUUUAAGAACCGAUUUUUAGCUUUUUUAGUUAAAAGUUAAGAAACAGUUUCUUAACUUUC
rfam:Brassica oleracea var. oleracea cultivar TO1000 chromosome C4, whole genome shotgun sequence